GACGAACGCUGGCGGCGUGCUUAACACAUGCAAGUCGAGCGGUAAGGCCCUUCGGGUACACGAGCGGCGAACGGGUGAGUAACACGUGGGUGACCUGCCCUUAGCUCUGGGAUAAGCCUGGGGAAACUGGGUCUAAUACCGGAUAUGACCUCAUGACGCAUGUUGUGGGGUGGAAAGCCUUGUGCGGCUAGGGAUGGGCCCGCGGCCUAUCAGCUUGUUGGUGGGGUGAUGGCCACCAAGGCGACGACGGGUAGCCGGCCUGAGAGGGCGACCGGCCACACUGGGACUGAGACACGGCCCAGACUCCUACGGGAGGCAGCAGUGGGGAAUCUUGCGCAAUGGGCGAAAGCCUGACGCAGCGACGCCGCGUGAGGGAUGACGGCCU
rnacentral:rRNA from 1 species